ensembl:lncRNA
GUAAAGUGUCUGCCUGCAACGUGGGAGUCCCAGGUUAGAUCCCUGGGUUGGGAAGAUCCCCUGGAGAAGGAAAUGGCAACCUACUCCAGUACUCUUGCCUGGAAAAUUCCAUGGACGGAAGAGCCUGGUAGGCUACAGUCCAUGGGGUUGCGAAGAGUUGGACAUGACAGCCAUUUCACUUCACUUCACUUGACCUUUUAUAGAUUUUAUUUUAUUUUCAUGACAACCCUGUGUGGUGGAUGUUAUUAUCAUCUCUUUACAGAUAAAACAGCAACUGAGGCUGAGAGAAAGAAUGGAUUUCCAUGGACACUAUUCUUGCAUAUAUUAAGCCAGACCCAUUACUUCACCCUGACAUCCCUUGAAGUAGGGCUCUAUGUGGAAAGGCUUCUGGUGGACAGCCAUGCUUUUGGAAGUACCAUGACUUGCAUCUCCACUGAAUCAAGUUCAUCAUCUUGGAGAGAAUAGGCAAGAGUUUUAUCUUUGCCUCUAUCUUAGCAGCCUUCUCAACCUAUUAAAUCACCAGGCCUUAUUUAUUCAGGUCACAAAUGACAGAGCAAUGUAGAAAUAAUAGGAUACUAGAGGCAAAUUGUGUUUUUCCACAUCAUGACUAUAAAUAAGUUACCUGAGACAACUUUUCAGAAGCCAGUUUCAGUAUAACAGUUUAAACCAAAAUCCG